CCUACGGGAGGCAGCAGUGAGGAAUAUUGGUCAAUGGACGAGAGUCUGAACCAGCCAAGUAGCGUGAAGGAUGACUGCCCUAUGGGUUGUAAACUUCUUUUAUAUGGGAAUAAAACGUUCCACGUGUGGGAUUUUGUAUGUACCAUAUGCAUAAGGAUCGGCUAACUCCGUGCCAGCAGCCGCGGUAAUACGGAGGAUCCGAGCGUUAUCCGGAUUUAUUGGGUUUAAAGGGAGCGUAGGUGGAUUGUUAAGUCAGUUGUGAAAGUUUGCGGCUCAACCGUAAAAUUGCAGUUGAAACUGGCAGUCUUGAGUACAGUAGAGGUGGGCGGAAUUCGUGGUGUAGCGGUGAAAUGCUUAGAUAUCACGAAGAACUCCGAUUGCGAAGGCAGUUCACUGGACUGCAACUGACACUGAGGCUCGAAAGUGUGGGUAUCAAACAGGAUUAGAUACCCCUGUAGUC
rnacentral:rRNA from 1 species